AUACGUAGGGAGCGAGCGUUGUCCGGAAUUACUGGGUGUAAAGGGAGCGUAGGCGGGAGUGCAAGUCAGAUGUGAAAUACAUGGGCUCAACCCAUGGGCUGCAUUUGAAACUGCAUUUCUUGAGGGAAGUAGAGGUAAGCGGAAUUCCUGGGGUAGCGGGGAAAUGCGUAGAUAUCAGGAGGAACACCGGUGGCGAAGGCGGCUUACUGGGCUUUUACUGACGCUGAGGCUCGAAAGCGUGGGGAGCAAACAGGAUUAGAUACCCUGGUAGUCCACGCUGUAAACGAUGAUUACUAGGUGUGGGGGGACUGACCCCUUCCGUGCCGCAGUUAACACAAUAAGUAAUCCACCUGGGGAGUACGGCCGCAAGGUUGAAACUCAAAUGAAUUGACGGGG
rnacentral:rRNA from 1 species